rnacentral:rRNA from 1 species
UGGGAAACAGGGUGCUAAUACCGCAUAAAACCUAACACCGCAUGGUGUAGGGUUGAAAGAUGGUUUCGGCUAUCACUUUAGGAUGGACCCGCGGUGCAUUAGUUAGUUGGUGAGGUAAAGGCUCACCAAGACCGUGAUGCAUAGCCGACCUGAGAGGGUAAUCGGCCACACUGGGACUGAGACACGGCCCAGACUCCUACGGGAGGCAGCAGUAGGGAAUCUUCCACAAUGGACGAAAGUCUGAUGGAGCAACGCCGCGUGAGUGAAGAAGGUUUUCGGAUCGUAAAACUCUGUUGUUGGAGAAGAAUGUAUCUGAUAGUAACUGAUCAGGUAGUGACGGUAUCCAACCAGAAAGCCACGGCUAACUACGUGCCAGCAGCCGCGGUAAUACGAA